rnacentral:lncRNA from 10 species
CGCGCUCCUACUUCCGGGGCGGCUGGUUCUUCCCGUCCUCCCCACCCCGGGGACACGCUUCUAGUAGGCCAAACUCCCAGGUGACCCCCGCAAGAAACGCGGUCCGGAGAGGGUCUGGCCCCACUGCUGGGGCAAGGGCUCUAGGCGCCCGGACCCCACGCCCGCAGCCUGCGGAGAACGUGCCGACAAGGACCUGUAGGGCCCCACUCCCCCUCCUCCCUCCCUCGGCGCAGCCCGGCCCAGGGGUCUGUCCUCCCAGGCCCAGGAAAGGAGGAAACCCACUUCCGCCGCGUCCAUGAUCUCCCGCGGCUUCUCCUGACUCUUGCGGCUGGCGCUGGCGCUGGGCAUCGGGACACGGAACUGGGCAGUGGACACCACCCUCCCUCGCAGGCUUCCAGUGUUCUUUCUUGGAACCAUCUGCCAAGCUGUGAGGAAGCUCCAGAGCCAUAUGACAAGACCUGAUGGAGGAUAACUGAGGACUUUGGCCAACAACCCCAGCUGAGCUCCAGUUGGAAUGUGAAUGAGGCCAUUUUGAGUGUUCCAGCCUAUUGGAGCCCUAGCCAACACUCUACAAACUAGAACUGCCUGAUUGACCCGCAGAAUCAUAAGAAAUAAAGUAAUUUGAAGGCCUUCCCUGACUUAAAGUGGAUGCUGCUUUGGAAAGCACUGGAAAAAUGGAUCCUGUCUUUCUUAGCCAAGGACUGGUCUCUUUUCUCCAAUGUGUCCCUAACAGAGUGGUGAGGCUGGCUCUUCCCACCAGUACAGACAGAAUUUUCAAUUCACAAAUCAUCUGAAAAACAGGAAAUUUUGGAGAAACAUGCUUAUGAUAACAAACAAGGGAUCUAUCGUGUGGUAUAGAAGUUUACACAAAGAGGCAUCUGAUUUUAAGUUUUUGUUUUUUUUUUUUUUUUUUUUUUUACCGUUCUGGGCUUCUGGCUGCAUUCUAGGAAGAUCAUUCCUUAAAAGAAAUAGCCAUAUGGCUUAUAAGGGACUAUAUCUUAAGACUAUGUGUCUUCUGCAGUUCUUUGCAUAGAGUCAACGUUGAAGGACAAGCAACUUCAAAUUUCCAAGCAACAAAAUUAUGUUCGGGUGGUUUUCUGAAAGCGAGAUCUUAAGAACCACCUGUAUCAGAAUCCCAUGAAGAGCUUGUUUAGUGUGCAAAUUUACAGAUUGUCCCCCCUCAGAAAUGCUCAUUUAGGAGUUCCUGUCCUUUGCGGGGACAUGGAUGAAGCUGGAAACCAUCAUUCUCAGCAAACUAACACAGGAACAGAAAACCAAACACUGCAUGUUCUCACUCAAAAGUGGGAGUUGAACAAUGAGAACACAUGGACACAGGGAGGGGAACGUCACACACCAGGGCCUGUCGGGGGUGGGAGGUAAGGGGAGGGAGAGGAUUAGGACAAAUACCUAAUGCAUGUGGGGCUUAAAACCUAGAUGAUGGGUUGAUAGGUGCAGCAAACCACCAUGGACAUGUAUACCUAUGUAACAAACUUGCAUGUUCAGUACAUGUAUCCCAGAACUUAAAGUAAAAUAUAAAACAAUAAUAAAAAGGAAAUGCUCAUUCAGGAGUUUUGGGGUGGGGGUUCAGGAGGCUGCAGCCUUAACAAUUACCUCUGGUGAUUUUGACACAGGUAGCACAGCAGCCAAACUUGGAGAGAUUUGUUCACAGCACUGCAUCACCAACCUUACUUUCUGUUAGGCCUUUAAUCACUUUUUUUUUUUUUUUUUUUUUUUUUUUCUGAGACAGGGUCUUGCUCUAUCACCCAGGCUGGAGUACAGUGGCACGAUCUUGGCUCACUGCAAUCUCUGUAUCCUGGGUUCAAGCAAUCCUCUCUGCCUUGGCCUCCUGAGUAGCUGGGACCACAGACAUGCUCCAUUAUGCCCAACUAAUUAAAAACAUUUUUUUUAGAGGCAGGCUGGUCUCGAACUCCUGAGCUCAAGCAAUCUGCCUGCCUCGGCCUCCCAAAGUGCUGGGAUUACAGGUGUGAGCCACUGCGCCCGGCCUUUUAAUCACUUUUAAACCAGCAACCCUAAUCUGCCUGUCCCUUGAAUGGAUCCGGAUAAAGGUGUGGCAAACAAGCCUCCUGUCACAGUGGGGUGUGACAGUCACGGCAUCACCCCUUCACCACAUCAUGUGCUGCCAGUCAUCACUUCUGCUGUUGCCACCAACCCUUGCGUUUCCCUUUGUCACUUCCCCCUUGCCACCACCAACGGCCACUGUCCCUCUGCUCCUCACCCUCCAUAGCUGAGUCAGAUCCAGCAUUGGGCACUUGAGGAAGAAGCCACUGUGGAAGGCGGGAUGAGGGUGUUCCCAUUCUACAUUCACAAGCCCACAGCUUGGAGAAGAAGCACACCUAAUUCUGACCCUGGCUUCUGAAGAAGCUCUGCAAACCUGGCUAGAAAGUUGGGCCUGUGGUUUGAGGUUCCUGCUGCCUUUGAUUUUACAAUGAGUGGAAAUUGAGGUUGAGUAACAGGUCUCUUGCCCAAGUAUUAAGGGCCACCACGAAGCAUACAGCAAUGAAGGCAGGAGCUGAUGACAUGUGGUUGGUUCCCCCCUCUAGGCCAAGUAUCUUUGUAUAGGGAAGGCCGACAUGGCCAUCUUCACGGUUUGGUAUUAGUGGAGUGUCUUAUACAUACUGAAAUUUGUUUUUGUUUUCAGGUGCUAAAAGGAUAAUACCAAGGAAAACUAUGGGUGGGGGCAGUGAAUGGCCAGCAUGCCUAUAAUCCCAGCACUUGAAGCCAGGAGUUCGAGACCAGCCUGGGAAACAAAGCAAGACCCUGUGUCUAAAAAAAUUUUUUUAAAAAUAAGCUGGGCAUGGUGGCACGUGCCUAUAGUCCCAGCUACUCAGCUACUCGGGAGACCAAGACAUGGAAUAAACUUGACAAGUGCUAAAGAUGCUCUUUGAUUUUUGUGUGGCAUGAGACCUCAGGCUGAAACUUCUCAUCUGAGCCAUUGAAGGGAGCCUCUCAUCUCUCCACCGAGAGGGGAGACCAGAAUGCUCUGUUUCUGGCAGGAAUCUGACACCACUUACUCCUUGGGUAGAAACUCCCCCAAGUCUGAACUAUGUGAUUGCCUGAGCCCUGCUUCUUGUUCAUUAAGACUGCUCCUCUGAAACGGAAUUGAUGAAUUUUUAGUGGCUAUUAGAAGCAUUUGGGAUCCAUAGGCAUCAGGGUUUGAUGCAUGGCCCUCAUCUCUGUGGGCUCCUGUGCAAUGAUUCUCAUCUGUCUUAGUUAGAAAGUGAAUUAAUCUUGACCUUGGCCUCAGGGGUGUGGUUCUCUGCCCUCUUACACAUCUUCAAUUCGCUUCUUUAUCAGAAGCACUUGUUUUAGGCCCAGGCUCCCCCAAUUUUAAUGACAUUUAGACAUUUGUCUUUAAGUUACAUUGCUUUGAUUUUAAUCAAAAUCUAUAUUUCUAGUAUUAUAUGUUUCCAGAAAGUUCUCAUUCUGGAUUGUAAUUUAAUUACAUGGAUCAUUAAAGCUUUGAAGGAUGCUAAUGGGCAGAAAAAAGAGACUUAACAAAACGAAAGUUAUUAUUAGGAAUUACAAAUCACUUAACAUUUCAACAUCACUCGUCGGAUGUGGGCAUUUUGUUGAAAGAGACCUUGUUUUGAACAGUGACAGUGCAGAAGACCUAUGGAAGAAACAAGCUUCCAACUUGAUUUCUAUUGUUAUGCAUGCAUAGCAAAUUAUUAAUUCUAUUCUAAUAGGGUAAUAGAUUUAGAAAUACUAUUAGCAGAAAACUUGAUGUAUUAGGCAAUACUACAUACCACAUUAGUCUAACCGCUCAACUGUAAUUUUUCAUCCAUACUUUCUUGGGAUGUAAAUAAAAUUGAUAUUAUACAAUGAAAAUAAAAUUGCCCACUAGUCUUGCUUAUUCUCUUGG